GGGAGAGUCACCCAGCGGCGAGGGCAGCGGUCCGUAAAACCGUGACAUUAGAAACAUCGAAGGUUCGAGUCCUUCCUCUCCCA
rnacentral:tRNA from 1 species